rnacentral:tmRNA from 1 species
GGGGCUGAUUCUGGAUUCGACGGGAUUUGCGAAACCCAAGGUGCAUGCCGAGGGGCGGUUGGCCUCGUAAAAAGCCGCAAAAAAUAGUCGCAAACGACGAAAACUACGCUUUAGCAGCUUAAUAACCUGCUUAGAGCCCUCUCUCCCUAGCCUCCGCUCUUAGGACGGGGAUCAAGAGAGGUCAAACCCAAAAGAGAUCGCGUGGAAGCCCUGCCUGGGGUUGAAGCGUUAAAACUUAAUCAGGCUAGUUUGUUAGUGACGUGUCCGUCCGCAGCUGGCAAGCGAAUGUAAAGACUGACUAAGCAUGUAGUACCGAGGAUGUAGGAAUUUCGGACGCGGGUUCAACUCCCGCCAGCUCCACCA